rnacentral:lncRNA from 1 species
GCGAAGACGUCAGGGAGCGUUCGCCCCGGGGAGCAAGGAGGGGGCAUCUGUGCAGCGCGGGAGCAGAGAACGAAUGGACGGCAAACACACCUGCCGCGUUGGACCGCUUCCUGUGUGGGGCGGGCGCAGCUUUGCCACAACUGGCAGAGCUGUUAGGAGCACUCUUUGGAGAGAAACUUGCCCUUUGUUGAUUCUCAUCGUGCUCCCAUCAAACUGUCAAAGAUAUUGAAGGACAGAGACCUGAACUCUGCCACUGGGCUCAG